rnacentral:rRNA from 5 species
UCCGUAGGUGAACCUGCGGAAGGAUCAUUAAC